CAUUUGUCAUUUUGCAGUAAGUUUACUUUUUGCAGUAAAUUAGCUGUGGAUUAUAAUCGUAACGGCUGCGUCAUAACUGUACGCAUUUACGGGGGGCUGCAAAAAGCCGGCGGAUUCUGUCACGCGGCGGCUGUCUCCAUUGUAAAUCCCCAUUGCCUGGCCGUGGAGUUGGCGAGAGGCCGGCGGAUUGUCACGCCGGCUGUGACAGUUUGUGACAGUGUGUUUUGAGUGUCUUAGCCGGGCUAGGGAGGUGAGGUGAGGCAGUAUGGGAUCCAACAGCAUUACUACGGCUGCGCGGGCAAGAUGUGCGGGCUGUUUGUGUGACCCCAGCACAAGAUGUAUGCUGUGGAUAGUAUUAUUUAUAGUUCAAUCAGUCUUGAAGCAUGUGGAUGUAAGAUGAAGACGAGCAAUAGCCAAAAACAGAGCCUUGAGGGUCUUGGCCGGAGGACGCGCCUCCUGCAGGAUCUGGGCCGGAGGACGCACCGCCAGCAGGGUCGGCGACGGAGGACGCACCACUAGCAGGGUUGGCGUCGGAGGACUGUACGGAGGACUCGCCGCCAGCAGGGUCUGGACCGGAGGACUGGACGGAGGACUCGCCGCCAGCAGGGUCAGCGUCGGAGGACGCACCGCCAGCAGGCUCUGGACCGGAGGACUCGCCGCCAGCAGGGUCGGCGUCGAAGGACCGGACAGUCGUUCUGAGGAUACAGGGACGACUUAAUCACAAGGACGCAUUUAGCGGAAUAUUGUACAGACUCAGAGACAUAUGACGAUUGGGGAGUGAGAAGUGAUGUUUGACACGAGCCAUAUUGUGCGAGCACUAUUUGAUAUUUAAGGAAGGACAUAUAAUGACUCGGAACCAAUAGGAAGGGACCUGACUUCGUUAUUCUCUACAUAGGUUUGCUUCGUUACACACCGGUCACUUCUUGCCAGCAUAGGUAUGCACAUGGGCGUAGGAACGGCUGGAACAUUGUGGGUGCAUGGGUGCAGAAAUCCAGCCAUGGUCGGUGAAGCGGGGGGGGGGGGGUAGGGAGCGAUACCCGAGCGAAGGAUCGUUCGUUACGAGCUUUGAGGGUGUACCAUGUCGAAAAAAGGUACCGACCGAUAAGUGCAUUUGCGAAGCAUUGACCCUCGCAUGUGUAGGGGGUCGUUUUUUGUAGGGGGUGUAGUUUUACACCUACUCUGAAAAUUUCAUGACCCUGACCUAAAAGACCUUUGACCUGUGACCUGAUUCUCGAGACCAUGUUCGGCCGGAAUCGCGAUUUGGCGUAUGUCAGCUCACAUUAUCUGCGCGUUUCCAGUCUUUUUGUGAUUGUAGACGUCCAAACGUGUGAAAUGAUGUUCUUCCCAUGCAUCACGGUGGGUGUGAAGGUCACCUGAAGGUCAGGUCAGGUCAUUGAUCUUUGAUGACCUCGGUUCACUUUUUCGAGUUUUACAUGUUACUACGGUAGUUUAUCGGGCUGAUUUAGAAUUUAGCAUCCAUUUGAACGUUUACGAAGUAGUUUUAGUGCCUUCGUAACAUGCUACGACGCCGUCAGUGGUAGUUGACACUUACUAUGGAUAGCCGGUAGGACGCCUAAUGGUUGACCUGACCUGACCUGACCCGAUCUAGCCUAAACGCAUGAAGAAAUCAUCUGUGAUCAAAACUAACAUUGUAGUUGCCCUCUAGCUAUAGCAGCAGUCUAGCGCCGGCAGUCACGCUAUAGCAGCGGUUUAGCGUUCGAUCGUCGCGACAUCUAUAUUAGUUAAGCGCCGAUAGUCACGCUAUAGCAGCAGUUUGGCGUUCGAUCGUCGCGACAUCUAUAUUGACCGAGUGUGAUUACGCGUGGGUAUUUACAAGUACUCGAAUGUGGCAGGUACCUACUUUAAAUACUCGAAUACCAUUCUGAUGAAUAUUUCCACGGUUUUCUUUGAAUGCUAUGAACAAUAUUUUGUACAACGUUUUCCGAAACAAAUAAUUCUGCGUUUUGUGUUUCACGUUUUCGAAUCUAAGAACCUAAAACAUUGUGACGUGUCAGCAUUUUCGGUAUGAUAGUGGUGGGCACUGUCGUGUUCCUGCCACGCCCGUUUUGUGCGGCCGACAUUCUUGUUCAGGAUUGUUUCUGAGGAUGGUUUGAUUUCCCUGGCGCUAAUGAGUGAGUUUAGGAAGUGAAAUCUUGCAUAACUCUAUGUGGAUUGAAUCAGAUAAAUGCCCGUUGUUGAUGGUGAUAUGAAACUAGCAGAUUUACCGUGAUCUCUGUCUGAUAUCAGCACUUGAACUCUGCGCUGGAUUUGUAUUUGUUUGCCGCAUUUCAUGUAUGUAGAGCUAAAGGUCCGCGAUAAGGCCUAGAAACUAGAAAGUAUUUUGAGAAUGUUAUUUUGUUUAAGGCUGUGAAUGUUUACUUUAAUGAAAAACAAUAUCAAAUUCUUAUCUGUAUUCAAUGUAAACGCGUUUCGAUUAUUUCUUUAUCAAUACAUUGAUACAAUACAGAUAAUGAAAACACACGAUUCAAUGUGGGUGAACGCGAGCGAUGAGAUUGAUAUUUCAAACAUUAUGACCUAUUCACGUGGCAAAACUUUCUGUUCCCUCCAUAAAAUUCCCUCCAUAGAAAGUUUUGCCACGUGAAUAGGUCAUAAUGUUUGAAAUAUCAAUCUCAUCGCUCGCGUUCACCCACAUUGAAUCGUGUGUUUUCAUUAUCUGUAUUGUAUCAAUGUAUUGAUAAAGAAAUAAUCGAAACGCGUUUACAUUGAAUACAGAUAAGAAUUUGAUAUUGUUUUUCAUUAAAGUAAACAUUUGUCAAAAUGAACAAUAUACAAAGGCUGUGAAUAUCCAAGCCAAAGGUGUUUCAGGUUUGUCCGUGUUUGAGUACCAAACUGAUAACUUUGUUUCUGCAGGAAUAAUAUGAAGAGACUGUUUCGACCGUGUGUCAGAGGGAAUCAGCCCCCCAGUUAGUCCGGCAUGAGGUGCACACAGUCAGUAAGUUUAACCGAUUGAACUGGUCGUUUUCAGUCUUAUGAUAGUAUGUGCCUAGUAUGUGCUACUUGCAGUCGAAAUGUGUCAAGGACGAACGAGUAUGGGUCAUGUCAAGGUCUAAUCGUCAGAUCGAGUGUGGCUCAGUUGUUGUGUUAGGGAAGAGCUCACUGCUGCUAUAUGUGACGAUUGUUCUGACGUGUUGCAGAAACGGAUCUAUAGACAAGAUGAAUACAAGGUCCUGUGUUUGAC